rnacentral:rRNA from 1 species
UAGGGAAUCUUCGGCAAUGGACGAAAGUCUGACCGAGCAACGCCGCGUGAGUGAAGAAGGUUUUCGGAUCGUAAAACUCUGUUGUUAGAGAAGAACAAGGACGUUAGUAACUGAACGUCCCCUGACGGUAUCUAACCAGAAAGCCACGGCUAACUACGUGCCAGCAGCCGCGGUAAUACGUAGGUGGCAAGCGUUGUCCGGAUUUAUUGGACGUAAAGCGAGCGCAGGCGGUUUCUUAAGUCUGAUGUGAAAGCCCCCGGCUCAACCGGGGAGGGUCAUUGGAAACUGGGAGACUUGAGAUCAGAAGAGGUGAGUGGAAUUCCAUGUGUAGCGGUGAAUUGCGUAGAUAUAUGGAGGAACACCAGGGGAGAAGGCGGCUCUCUGGUCUGUAACUGACGCUGAGGCUCGAAAGCGUGGGGAGCAAACAGG